rnacentral:rRNA from 1 species
ACGAACGCUGGCGGCGUGCUUAACACAUGCAAGUCGAACGGAAAGGCCCUGCUUUUGUGGGGUGCUCGAGUGGCGAACGGGUGAGUAACACGUGAGUAACCUGCCCUUGACUUUGGGAUAACUUCAGGAAACUGGGGCUAAUACCGGAUAGGAGCUCCUGCUGCAUGGUGGGGGUUGGAAAGUUUCGGCGGUUGGGGAUGGACUCGCGGCUUAUCAGCUUGUUGGUGGGGUAGUGGCUUACCAAGGCUUUGACGGGUAGCCGGCCUGAGAGGGUGACCGGCGACAUUGGGACUGCGAUACGGCGCAGACUCCUACGGGAGGCAGCAGUGGGGAAUAUUGCACAAUGGGCGGAAGCCUGAUGCAGCAACACCGCGUGCGGGAUGACGGCCUUCGGGUUGUAAACCGCUUUCGCCUGUGACGAAGCGUGAGUGACGGUAAUGGGUAAAGAAGCACCGGCUAACUACGUG